rnacentral:rRNA from 1 species
CCUACGGGGGGCUGCAGUAAGGAGUUUUCCGCAAUGGGCGAAAGCCUGACGGAGCAACGCCGCGUGGGGGAUGACGCCCUUCGGGGUGUAAACCCCUUUUCUUGGGGACGAAGCAGUGACGGUACCCGAGGAAGAAGGCCCGGCUAACUACGUGCCAGCAGCCGCGGUAAUACGUAGGGGCCGAGCGUUGUCCGGAGUUACUGGGCGUAAAGCGCGCGCAGGCGGCUCGUCAAGCCUGACGUGAAAGCCCCCGGCUCAACCGGGGAGGGUCGUCGGGGACUGGCGGGCUUGAGGUCGGCAGGGGUUGGUGGAAUUCCCGGUGUAGUGGUGAAAUGCGUAGAGAUCGGGAGGAACACCCGUGGCGAAGGCGGCCAACUGGGCCGAACCUGACGCUGAGGCGCGAAGGCGUGGGGAGCGAACGGGCUUAGAUACCCCGGUAGUC